GCAUGCUCAGCAUCUGAGGUUUCAGAGAGAGCAAAGCGUUGCCAACUCCAUCCAUGAGAAUAAGACCACCUCCUCCAUACCGGUUCUUUCUGGAAUAGUUAUCCACUCGAAAAACCAAUCUUCCGUGAGGAUCAAAGACAGUGAAACCAUCGGUGCCCUGGAAACUCAUGCUAGAUCUCUUCCAUACAGUGAGCACACACGGAUUGCGACGUUGAUGUUGAUAACCAUCUACAUCAUCAACAACCCUCUCUUUCUCUUUCAAGAACAAAUCUUGACUGCAUCUCUUCUCCGCAGGAUGAAUCUUGGACAUGGUGGAAUCAAA
rnacentral:misc_RNA from 1 species